CAAACAAUCGAUCCCACCACUCAAAGUGUUAGAUGUUCCCUCGGUGUACCAGGAACAUGGUGAUUUCGAUCUGGAAGCAGCUGCGGCGCUAGCGGCUCAAGUUGGCUGUACCGUGGAGGAAUUGCUGAGUGCCCGUGAUGCAGUACUACCCAUUGCUGAUAUAGCUCCUAAAUUUGUCUACGGGGCUGACUUGGUCAGCAAAGAGCGGCUGCAUAAACUGCCAACGCAUAUGCGGAAUUUGCAUCAGUGGUACCUUGAUGCGUGCAAGGAGAACACAAGUUACAUCGUGGCGGAUAUCCCAGAAGAUUAUUACUUCCGAAAGGAGGAGAUCCAUAUUGAGAUGAAUGAACUCUGGCAGUUAUUCAAUUUAGACUCCCUCGACAAAUCUCUCAUGAGUUGCUACUGCUUACUGAAGAUCAUUGAAUGCAGAAGUAAUAAGAUGUUCAAUGUUGGGUUUGUUGACCCAGAUAAAGUACAUCAUGACACGGUAAAGAAUAAUGCCGAAGAAACGGGGGAAACCUACUAAGGUUUAUAGGGGAGCAAAGCUUCUGUGAUUCAAUACUGUUUCCUUACAACUACAGUUUCCACUGGAUUCUGCUAAAUAUUCAAGUUGAUAAGGGAAUAGUUGAAGUAAGGGACCCAUUGAGUAGAGGCCUGGACGGGUUCCGCGACUUGCAGAAGAUUCUCCAGACGUAAUUUCAAUCAUUGCCGCGCUAUAUCUUUCGUGAGAUAUCAAUUAAUUAUCCACUCAUUCAAUCAUUCUUUUGCCUGGCAGGUGUUGGAGAGCUUUGAAGAAUAAUAUUGCGGGUAACUUCGCAGAGAAGCUAACAUUUACUCUUGUACCGUGCGCCCAGCAGCCACAGGGGACGAAUCUAUGUGGAUACUACGUUUGCGAGUCCAUUCGCAUGUUAACCACUGAGAAGCACAACGAUAAUAGAUUCAACGUCGACUUCAUGCGGGAGAAGCUCCAACCACACGAGCACAUACUAGGAAUUACGGAGGAAUUGGCGGGACUUCUAAUGAAAGAAGUAAUAGACGACAACGGCUUGUUUAGUCCAAAUAGGCGCAACAAAUGAUCC